AACCCCGGCCGCUGUGGUGACUCCACCGCGCCUCGCGGUCGCCCCAUCCCUGUCCCGCCCGCCGCCGGAGACAGAGGAACGGGCUCGUCAAACUGCGCCUGACAGAAUGUCCGGAGGGGUUGUCAGAUAGAAGACUACACUUACAAAGUGUUUAUGAUUCCAGGUGCAUGAAAUCUUUAAUAUUACAGACACAAUCUGGGAGCAGUAUGGAGGAUGGACUGGAAUGGGAGCCGUGAAGACUGGUUUUAGGGUAACUGGUUAAGAAGAUUCAACAGCAACCAUCGUUCAGAUUUUUUUCUUGUUUGAAUGUUUAUUUCAAAAUUUUUUAUUACAAAUAAUUGCUGUAAACAUCUUGGUGUAGGUAACUUUGAUUUUUUUUAAAGGAUUUUUUUAGGAUGCUUCCAUAAAAAUAGUGUUACUGAGUUCAAGUGUAUGGAUAUUUUUAAGGUUUCAUGAUUAAUUUUUCCUUUAGGCUGCUGCUUAAAAGAGUUGGGCCUAUUUAGCGCAGCAGUAAAUAAAGAUACCCUUUUCGCUAUUCUAAGCAUUAGCUAAUUGCGUUUUAAAUUUUUUGCUAAUUUUAUGGCAUGUGCCAUUUAAACAUUCGUGAAGCAGGAUAUUUUCCUGUCUGUUUACUAAUCAUAUUUAUUUUCACUGACUUGUUUGGCCUUGUCCUAGUUAUGUUAGAGCCUUAAUGUUUUUCUUAUUGAUCUCCCUGAGACUUACAAUUAUAUUAAUCUGUUGUCAUAUUUGCUACAAACAUUUCCAUGGUGAAUUAUUUGUCUUUUAAUAUUGGUCAUUGUUUGGACAUGUAGAAAUGUGUUAUCUUAGGAGUCAAAAUCUGUCUAACUUUUGUUUUGUUUUCCUAUUCUAUACUUGGAAAGCUUUUUCUUCAAGAAGUUUGAUAAAUAAGUACAUUAUAUUUAGUGUUUUUAAAAAAUGCUUUAAUAAACUAUUCCCCCUUCAACUGC
rnacentral:lncRNA from 1 species